rnacentral:rRNA from 1 species
AGCGAACGCUGGCGGCAGGCCUAACACAUGCAAGUCGAGCGGCCGUAGCAAUACGGCAGCGGCAGACGGGAGAGUAACACGAGGGAACGCGCCCUUCGGUUCGGGAUAACUCAGGGAAACUUGGGCUAAUACCGGAUACGCCCUUAUGGGGGAAGAUUUAUUGCCGAAGGAACGGCCCGCGUCCGAUUAGCUUGUUGGUGAGGUAACGGCUCACCAAGGCGACGAUCGGUAGCUGGUCUGAGAGGAUGACCAGCCUCACUGGGACUGAGACACGGCCCAGACUCCUACGGGAGGCAGCAGUGGGGAAUAUUGGACAAUGGGCGCAAGCCUGAUCCAGCCAUGCCGCGUGGGUGAUGAAGGCCCUAGGGUUGUAAAGCCCUUUCAGCGGGGAAGAUAAUGACGGUACCCGCAAGAGAAGCCCCGGCUAACUUCGUGCCAGCCGCCGCAGUAAGAC